rnacentral:lncRNA from 1 species
AUGGCAGCUGCUCACCCCUCCUUCUCCCUUGCUCCCAGGCCCCAGGCCCUCCCUCAUCCAGCACCUUUGCCUGGCUGCCCCUUGGUUUGGUCUCUGCUCCCCUCCUUCUGGGGAGAUCUGUUAGGUGAGGGUGAAGUGGCUGCCUGCCUGCAGGUGGGCAAAUGGCGAAGGAAGCUCCGAAGCAGAGAGGAAAGGGUCCAUCUGCUGCCAGGACUGGCUGGGGAUGGAGGGUGGACGUGCCCUCUGCACACUCCAAUUCCCGCCACUUCCUUGGGUCAGCUUUGGAAGCCGCUGCCUACUGAGCAAGCCCUGGGAAUGCAGCCUGGGAAAAAGGCCAGCCGCCCUCCAGGAGCUCCACGUCAAUGGCCAAAGGGGCAAGUAAGGAAAGAACACCAAGACACGCGAGUGCGGCCACGUCGGAACCCCGGGCUUGGUCGCAGCCCUCAGAGCGGGAAGUCAGGCUGCACAAAGAGCCCCCUCCUGCCUCUGGCCGCUCUUGCAGCAGACUCCCAGCCACGGCAUCCCCAGCAGUUCCCACCACAGGCGCUGAAGGAAAUGCUUUGGGCUAAUGUUCUGGGAGGAGGCCAGCCAGCGCCUCCCUGGAAGAACUCUGGCUGCUCCCUCAAGCCUCCAAAGGGCUUUUCCAGGCCAAGAAAAGAAAGGUGGCGAACCCCAGAGCCCUUCCCGCCCUGGAGCCCAUCGAGGCCAGGCUGCUGCCCCAAGCGGGGUUCGAGGGAAACGAGAAGCCUUCCAGCCACUGGGCAGAGCCAGCCAAACAUGCAGGCUGGGAAGGUGGAAGCUGCGUGCCAGGAACGGGGAUGUCCGAUGCCUGUGGGCUCCUUGGCAAAGGUGGCCUGCCACGUCCUUACCCAAGAGGAAACUUACCAGCGUCACACAGCUGGAGUGAGCGCCAGGGCUGGCAGGCUAAUCGCCGCAGCUCCACCUGGCCACCCUCCGAGGGAGCCCGGAAGUCACAUCCCUCGAGCUGGGCUUGGGCCACUGGAGAAAGCCACGGCUGCUCCAGAGCCGCCGAGGUGGGGGCAGUACCAGAGGGGAGAAGGGGCCCAUUGGCCAGAGGCCCCACAAGGCCACCCCCAAUACGCCACUGUUCCCGGGCGCUCUUCGUGA